rnacentral:rRNA from 1 species
ACGAACGCUGGCGGCGUGCCUAAUACCUGCAAGUAGAACGCUGAAGGAGGAGCUUGCUUCUCUGGAUGAGUUGCGAACGGGUGAGUAACGCGUAGGUAACCUGCCUGGUAGCGGGGGAUAACUAUUGGAAACGAUAGCUAAUACCGCAUAAGAGUAGAUGUCGCAUGACAUUUGCUUAAAAGGUGCAAUUGCAUCACUACCAGAUGGACCUGCGCUGUAUUAGCUAGUUGGUGAGGUAACGGCUCACCAAGGCAACGAUACAUAGCCGACCUGAGAGGGUGAUCGGCCACACUGGGACUGAGACACGGCCCAGACUCCUACGGGAGGCAGCAGUAGGGAAUCUUCGGCAAUGGACGGAAGUCUGACCGAGCAACGCCGCGUGAGUGAAGAAGGUUUUCGGAUCGUAAAGCUCUGUUGUAAGAGAAGAACGAGUGUGAGAGUGGAAAGUUCACACUGUGACGGUAUCUUACCAGAAAGGGACGGCUAACUACGUG